rnacentral:rRNA from 1 species
UACGGAGGGGGCUAGCGUUGUUCGGAAUUACUGGGCGUAAAGCGCACGUAGGCGGCUUUGUAAGUUAGAGGUGAAAGCCCGGGGCUCAACUCCGGAAUUGCCUUUAAGACUGCAUCGCUAGAAUUGUGGAGAGGUAAGUGGAAUUCCGAGUGUAGAGGUGAAAUUCGUAGAGAUCCGGAGGAACACCAGUGGCGAAAGCGGCCACCUGGACUGUACCUGACGCUGAAACGCGAAAGCUAGGGGAGCGAACGGG